UUUCUCGAAAAUAAAAGAUCUAUAAGGAUUAAUUGUAUAUUGUAGCAGUAAUAUCAAUUAAAUUUUUAUAGGAGUGAAACAUCAACCGAUUUUAUUAAUAUCUAGUAACUUCAGAAAUAAAUUUAGUUUGUAUUAGUUAGGGCGGUUUUUGUUUUUUUCUAAUAUUAAGUUUUGGGGGAUGAGCUCCAAUACUAAUUUAUAAAAUUUGAUUCAUUUAUUUUUAAAAUAGGCUUAGAAUUAGCCAUCAGAUAGUGUUAUAAGUUAUAAAUUUAGGAAAAUGAUUUAUUAAUUUUUAAUAUUAAUAUGAAGUUAUAUAAAAAUUAAAUAAUAAUAGAAAAUAUGAUAACAUUAGUAGAAUUUUAUUCAAGAAAUCCUAUGAAGUUUCUUUAAAUUUAUAUGGUAAAAGAACUCGGCAAAAAUGAUUUCCGAAUGUUUAACAAAAACAUUUCCUCUUAGAAUAGGAGGUAAAGCCUGCUCACUGAAUAUUUGAAGAGCCGCAGUAUUUUGACUGUGCUAAGGUAGCAUAAUCAUUAGUCUUUUAAUUGGGGACUGGUAUGAAUGGCUAAACGAGAAAUUUCCUUUUUUUAUCAUAACAAUAGAAUUUAUUUUUUUAGUGAAAAAACUAAGAUAUUCCUGAAAGACGAGAAGACCCUAUAGAGUUUUAUAUAGUAAGUUCCUAUAUUAUAUUAGAUUUUUGUUGAUAUAGUUUGAUUCUAUAAUUUGUUGGGGCGACAUUAAGAUAUAAGAAACUCUUUUUUUUAAUGACUUUUAUGAAAGUUGAAUUUGAUCCUUUAAAAAAGACAAU
rnacentral:rRNA from 1 species